rnacentral:rRNA from 1 species
GAUGAACGCUGGCGGCGUGCCUAAUACAUGCAAGUCGAACGCUGGAAAUCUAGCUUGCUAGAUUGAAGGAGUGGCGAACGGGUGAGUAAUACAUAAGCAACCUACCCACGAAGACUGGGAUAAUCUCUGGAAACGGGGACUAAUACCGGAUAGGUAAUCGGAAGGCAUCUUCUGAUUAUUAAAGGUUAAAAACACUGGUGGAUGGGCUUAUGGCGCAUUAGUUAGUUGGUGAGGUAACGGCCCACCAAGACGAUGAUGCGUACCCGGCCUGAGAGGGUGAACGGCCACAGUGGGACUGAGACACGGCCCAGACUCCUACGGGAGGCAGCAGUAGGGAAUUUUCGGCAAUGGGGGAAACCCUGACCGAGCAACGCCGCGUGAGUGAUGACGGCCUUCGGGUUGUAAAGCUCUGUUGUAAGGGAAGAACGGUAGAUAGAGAAUAUCUAAAUGACGGUACCUUACCAGAAAGCCACGGCUAACUACGUG